rnacentral:misc_RNA from 1 species
GUUCAAGCAAAGUUGCAUCAAGAUAAAAAUAUAGCAGAAAGGACAUUUGAUUGGCUAGGCAAUCAGAUUAAAGUUAGAAAUUUUGCAGCUGAUAUCAAAGGAAUACAUGAUCAAAUCAAAGACAUUCGUAACAACAAUCAAGCACUUCAGGCAACCCCUGUUCUUGAACUACCUAAAAAAGGGGAAGUAACUCAGGGUCCUUCUUUGGAGAAUGAUGCUGUGGUCGGGUUUGAUGACGAAGCUAACAAAGUGAUCAAGCGACUUGUUGAAGGACCGUUGGAUAGUGUCGAUAUUAUCCCCGUGGUGGGGAUGCCCGGACUUGGAAAAACUACACUGGCAAGAAAAAUCUAUAAUGAUCCUAAGCUUACAUAUGAAUUUUACAGCAUUGUUUGGGUUUACGUAGGUCAGG